rnacentral:rRNA from 1 species
UGGCGGCGUGCCUAAUACAUGCAAGUCGAGCGCGGGAAGCGGACAAUCACCCUUCGGGGUGUGCGUCCGUGGAACGAGCGGCGGAUGGGUGAGUAUCACGUGGGCAACCUGCCUGUAAGAUUGGGAUAACUCGCGGAAACGUGAGCUAAUACCGAAUGAAGUCUUUCGCCGCCUGGUGAAAGGAUGAAAGAUGGCUCUUGAGCUAUCACUUACAGAUGGGCCCGCGGCGCAUUAGCUAGUUGGUGGGGUAAAGGCCUACCAAGGCGACGAUGCGUAGCCGACCUGAGAGGGUGAUCGGCCACACUGGGACUGAGACACGGCCCAGACUCCUACGGGAGGCAGCAGUAGGGAAUCUUCCGCAAUGGACGAAAGUCUGACGGAGCAACGCCGCGUGAAGUGAUGAAGGUCUUCGGAUCGUAAAACUCUGUUGUCAGGGAAGAACAAGUUGUGUUCUAACAGGACAUGACCUUGACGGUACCUGACCAGAAAGCCCCGGCUAACUACGUGCCAGCCGCCGC